rnacentral:rRNA from 1 species
AGAGUUUGAUCCUGGCUCAGGACGAACGCUGGCGGCGUGCUUAACACAUGCAAGUCGAACGGGCCCGCCCUCUUUUUUGGGGGUGGGUUGAGUGGCGAACGGGUGAGUAUCACGUGAGUAACCUGCCCCCUGCUCCUGGAUAACUGCUUGAAAGGGCGGCUAAUACGGGGUGUGCCGGCUGGUCCGCAUGGGCCUGGUCGGGAUAGUUUCAUCUUCGGGUGUUUCGGUGGGGGAUGGGCUCGCGGCCUAUCAGCUUGUUGGUGGGGUGAUGGCCCACCAAGGCGGUGACGGGUAGCCGGCCUGAGAGGGUGGGCGGCCACACUGGGACUGAGACACGGCCCAGACUCCUGCGGGAGGCAGCAGUGGGGGGUAUUGCACAAUGGGCGGAAGCCUGAUGCAGCGACGUCGCGUGAGGGAUGGAGGCCUUCGGGUUGUGAACCUCUGUUUCCGGUGGUGAAGGCCCUGUCCGUGUGGUGGGGUUGACGGUAGCCGGGGAUGAAGCGCCGGCUAACUACGUGCCAGCAGCCGCGGUAAUACGUAGGGCGCGAGCGUUGUCCGGAAUUAUUGGGCGUAAAGGGCUUGUAGGCGGCUGGUCGCGUCUGCCGUGAAAUCCUCUGGCUCAGCUGGGGGCGUGCGGUGGGUACGGGCUGGCUUGAGUGCGGUAGGGGAGGCUGGAACUCCUGGUGUAGCGGUGGAAUGCGCAGAUAUCAGGAGGAACACCGGUGGCGAAGGCGGGUCUCUGGGCCGUUACUGACGCUGAGGAGCGAAAGCGUGGGGAGCGAACAGGAUUAGAUACCCUGGUAGUCCACGCCGUAAACGUUGGGCACUAGGUGUGGGGGGCCUUUUCCGGGUCUUCCGCGCCGUAGCUAACGCAUUAAGUGCCCCGCCUGGGGAGUACGGCCGCAAGGCUAAAACUCAAAGGAAUUGACGGGGGC